UGGAUCUGUGAUGACCACUGGAUGCGUACGAGCCGUGUAUCAUGACUACAGGUCUGGGAGUCUGAGGUCCAC